rnacentral:rRNA from 1 species
AUUGAACGCUGGCGGCAUGCUUUACACAUGCAAGUCGAACGGUAACAGGCCUUCGGGUGCUGACGAGUGGCGAACGGGUGAGUAAUGCAUCGGAACGUACCCAGAGGUGGGGGAUAACGCAGCGAAAGCUGUGCUAAUACCGCAUGUGAUCUGAGGAUGAAAGCGGGGGACCGAGCAGCAAUGUUUGGCCUCGCGCCUUUGGAGCGGCCGAUGUCGGAUUAGCUAGUUGGUGGGGUAAAGGCCUACCAAGGCGGCGAUCCGUAGCUGGUCUGAGAGGACGACAGGCCACACGGGAACGGGGAAACGGCCAAGACUCCUACGGGAGGAGGAGGUGGGGAAUUUGGAAAAAUGGGGGAAAGCCUGAUCAAGAAAUGCCGCGUGCGGGAAGAAGGCCUUCGGGUUGUAAACCGCUUUUGGCAGGAACGAAACGGUGUCCGCUAAUACCGGGCGCUAAUGACGGUACCUGCAGAAUAAGCACCGGCUAACUACGUG